UAAUAGGUGGGAAGGUGAAGGCUUAUUCAGGCAUAGUAAAGUUAUUUUUGAUGCCCUUGAUGACCUUGUAUGUGAUAUUACAUUGAAGAUUUUCAACCAACAAGGUUAUGAUAUAAAAACACAUCUUCAAGAUAUCUGGCGAGACUUGUUCAAUGUGUGGUUGAAGGAGUCCGAGUGGAGUAGAAGCAGACAUGCACCAUCAAUUGAUGAAUACCUUCAAGUUGGCAUGAUCUCUGUAGUUGUACAUGCAAUGUUUCUCCCCUCAUGUUAUCUUGCAAGUCCAAAGCACCCACAGAACACUCUAGGAACCCGUUAUAGCAAAACUACCAAAUUGUUAAUCUCUCGACUCGCUUAUUGAAUGACAUUGAAAGCUAUGAGAAGGAGAUGAAACACGGAAAAUUGAACAUGGUUCUACUGUACUUGAAAAAGAAUCCAGAGGCAAAUAUUGAAGAUUCAAUUGCAUAUAUACAUAACAAGCUGGAUAGACUGAAGAAGCAGCUACUUGAAAUUAUUAUGACUAAUAACAAUACCGAAAUACCGAAAUAAUGGAAACAAGUCCAUCUAUGUGCUUUGAAGGGGUUUCAGAUGUUGUAUAACACCUAUAAUUUAUUUGACUCACCUAUUGCGCUACUUCAGGACAUUACAAUGGCUAUCUAUGAGCCAUUAGUUAUGGAUGCCUAGAGAAUGCUUCUGCCACCGUUUGUGCUUAAUGCUCAUGAGUCAAUUAAGAAGAAUAAAGGACAGUCUAUGGAUGAUACUUCUGAGAAAGAACUAUCAGUGAAGGCUCAAGGUCGGUUUCAAGGAGUUAAUCAUAAAAUAGUUUAUAAUUCAAUAGCAAUGCCUUCCAAAAUCAAGCAGUCACUUACUAUGUGAGGCCCAAAAGUUUUCUUACAUUGUGGUGCCCAUCUUCCUACAUGUUUUUAGCUGUGCCUCCCAUUUCUCCAAGUCCUUUGUUGAAGAUGUAGGUGGUAGUAUUCAGGUGUGCGUGUUCAAGAAAUAUUUAUAUCUAUACUAUUGUAUCUUCUGUGUUGUUACAUCUUUACCGACAGAGUGCAUAUUAUAGUCUUUUGUGCACAACAUAUUGAUGAUAAAAAAGGAAAUGCAAGUGCAAUAAGAAUUUAUGGUUGUUUUGUUUGUACCCUUAUUCAUGUUUAUACAUACAUGAAUUUAUGGU